GAUGAACGCUGGCGGCGUGCUUAACACAUGCCAGUCGAACGAUGAAGCCCAGCUUGCUGGGUGGAUUAGUGGCGAACGGGUGAGUAACACGUGAGUAACCUGCCCUUAACUCUGGGAUAAGCCUGGGAAACUAGGUCUAAUACCGGAUAGGAGCGCCUACCGCAUGGUGGGUGUUGGAAAGAUUUAUCGGUUUUGGAUGGACUCGCGGCCUAUCAGCUUGUUGGUGAGGUAAUGGCUCACCAAGGCGACGACGGGUAGCCGGCCUGAGAGGGUGACCGGCCACACUGGGACUGAGACACGGCCCAGACUCCUACGGGAGGCAGCAGUGGGGAAUAUUGCACAAUGGGCGCAAGCCUGAUGCAGCGACGCCGCGUGAGGGAUGACGGCCUUCGGGUUGUAAACCUCUUUCAGUAGGGAAGAAGCGAAAGUGACGGUACCUGCAGAAGAAGCACCGGCUAACUACGUG
rnacentral:rRNA from 1 species